rnacentral:rRNA from 1 species
UACGGAGGGUGCAAGCGUUAUUCGGAAUUAUUGGGCGUAAAGGGCGCGUAGGCGGCUAGAUGUGUCAAAGGUGAAAUCCCUCGGCUCAACUGAGGAACUGCCUUUGAAACUGUCUGGCUUGAGGCCGGGAGAGGGUAGCGGAAUUCCCAGUGUAGCGGUGAAAUGCGUAGAUAUUGGGAGGAACACCAGUGGCGAAGGCGGCUACCUGGACCGGUUCUGACGCUGAGGCGCGAAAGCGUGGGUAGCAAACAGG